rnacentral:rRNA from 1 species
GCGAACGGGUGAGUAACACGUGAGUAACCUGCCCUUAACUCUGGGAUAAGCCUGGGAAACUGGGUCUAAUACCGGAUAUGACUCCUCAUCGCAUGGUGGGGGGUGGAAAGCUUUAUUGUGGUUUUGGAUGGACUCGCGGCCUAUCAGCUUGUUGGUGAGGUAAUGGCUCACCAAGGCGACGACAGGUAGCCGGCCUGAGAGGGUGACCGGCCACACUGGGACUGAGACACGGCCCAGACUCCUACGGGAGGCAGCAGUGGGGAAUAUUGCACAAUGGGCGAAAGCCUGAUGCAGCGACGCCGCGUGAGGGAUGACGGCCUUCGGGUUGUAAACCUCUUUCAGUAGGGAAGAAGCGAAAGUGACGGUACCUGCAGAAGAAGCGCCGGCUAACUACGUGCCAGCAGCCGCGGUAAUACGUAGGGCGCAAGCGUUAUCCGGAAUUAUUGGGCGUAAAGAGCUCGUAGGCGGUUUGUCGCGUCUGCCGUGAAAGUCCGGGGCUCAACUCCGGAUCUGCGGUGGGUACGGGCAGACUAGAGUGAUGUAGGGGAGACUGGAAUUCCUGGUGUAGCGGUGAAAUGCGCAGAUAUCAGGAGGAACACCGAUGGCGAAAGCAGGUCUCUGGGCAUUAACUGACGCUGAGGAGCGAAAGCAUGGGGAGCGAACAGGAUUAGAUACCCUGGUAGUCCAUGCCGUAAACGUUGGGCACUAGGUGUGGGGGACAUUCCACGUUUUCCGCGCCGUAGCUAACGCAUUAAGUGCCCCGCCUGGGGAGUACGGCCGCAAGGCUAAACUCUAAGGAU